rnacentral:rRNA from 1 species
GGUUUAAUUCGAUGCAACGCGAAGAACCUUACCUGGUCUUGACAUCCACAGAACUUUCCAGAGAUGGAUUGGUGCCUUCGGGAACUGUGAGACAGGUGCUGCAUGGCUGUCGUCAGCUCGUGUUGUGGAAUGUUGGGUUAAGUCCCGCAACGAGCGCAACCCUUAUCCUUUGUUGCCAGCGGUUAGGCCGGGAACUCAAAGGAGACUGCCAGUGAUAAACUGGAGGAAGGUGGGGAUGACGUCAAGUCAUCAUGGCCCUUACGACCAGGGCUACACACGUGCUACAAUGGCAUAUACAAAGAGAAGCGACCUCGCGAGAGCAAGCGGACCUCAUAAAGUAUGUCGUAGUCCGGAUUGGAGUCUGCAACUCGACUCCAUGAAGUCGGAAUCGCUAGUAAUCGUAGAUCAGAAUGCUACGGUGAAUACGUUCCCGGGCCUUGUACACACCGCCCGUCACACCAUGGGAGUGGGUUGCAAAAGAAGUAGGUAGCUUA